ACAAUGGUCGAAUAUUAUUCCAAUCUUCAAGAUUACUCCACUGAAAUUGAAGAAACGGAACGAAUCAAGCGCAAGAAGUCACGGGCAGUAGCUGCUGCGGUCGCUAUUUCUGCUGCCUCUAAUGGACUGGCUAGUAAGGGAAGUGGUGAUGCAAAGCAAGGGACUGGGGGUCAACACAGACGAUUAUGGGUGAAAGACAGA
rnacentral:misc_RNA from 1 species